CCUACGGGAGGCAGCAGUGGGGAAUAUUGGGCAAUGGGCGAAAGCCUGACCCAGCGACGCCGCGUGAGGGACGAAGGCCUUCGGGUUGUAAACCUCUUUCAGCAGGGAAGAAGCGAAAGUGACGGUACCUGCAGAAGAAGCACCGGCUAACUACGUGCCAGCAGCCGCGGUAAUACGUAGGGUGCAAGCGUUGUCCGGAAUUAUUGGGCGUAAAGAGCUCGUAGGUGGUUUGCCACGUCGGAUGUGAAAACCUGAGGCUUAACCUCAGGCCUGCAUUUCGAUACGGGCAGACUAGAGUGUGGUAGGGGAGACUGGAAUUCCUGGUGUAGCGGUGAAAUGCGCAGAUAUCAGGAGGAACACCGGUGGCGAAGGCGGGUCUCUGGGCCAUAACUGACACUGAGGAGCGAAAGCGUGGGGAGCAAACAGGAUUAGAUACCCUGGUAGUCCACGCCGUAAACGGUGGGCACUAGAUGUGGGGACCUUCCACGGUCUCUGCGUCGCAGCUAACGCAUUAAGUGCCCCGCCUGGGGAGUACGGCCGCAAGGCUAAAACUCAAAGGAAUUGACGG
rnacentral:rRNA from 1 species